AACGAACGCUGGCGGCAUGCUUAACACAUGCAAGUCGAACGAGACCUUCGGGUCUAGUGGCGCAAGGGUGCGUAACGCGUGGGAAUCUGCCCUUAGGUACGGAAUAACUCAGAGAAAUUUGUGCUAAUACCGUAUGAUGUCGAAAGACCAAAGAUUUAUCGCCUAAGGAUGAGCCCGCGUAAGAUUAGCUUGUUGGUGAGGUAAAAGCUCACCAAGGCGACGAUCUUUAGCUGGUCUGAGAGGAUGAUCAGCCACACUGGGACUGAUACACGGCCCCGACUCCGACGGGAGGCAGAAGUGGGGGAUAUUGGACAAUGGGCGAAAGCCUGAUCCAGCAAUGCCGCGUGAGUGAUGAAGGCCUUAGGGUUGUAAAGCUCUUUUACCAGGGAUGAUAAUGACAGUACCUGGAGAAUAAGCUCCGGCUAACUCCGUGCCAGCCGCCGCGGUAA
rnacentral:rRNA from 1 species